CCUACGGGAGGCAGCAGUGAGGAAUAUUGGUCAAUGGACGAGAGUCUGAACCAGCCAAGUCGCGUGAAGGAUGACUGCCCUAUGGGUUGUAAACUUCUUUUAUAAAGGAGUAAAACGAUGCACGUGUGCCUUUUGGCAUGUACUUUCUGAAUAAGGCAUGGCUAAAUCCGUGCCAGCCGUCGCGGUAAUACGGAGGGUUCGAGCGUUUUCCUGAUUUAUUGGGGUUAAAGGGGGCGUAGGUGGGUUGUUAAGUCAGGUGUUAAAGUUUGCGGCUUAAACGUAACAUUGAAAUUGAUACGGGCAGUCUUGAGUACAGGUGAGGUAGGCGGAAUUCGUGGUGUAGCGGUGAAAUGCAUAGAUAUCACGAAGAACCCCGAUUGCGAAGGCAGCUUACUAAACUGUGACUGACAUUGAUGCUCGAAAGUGUGGGUAUCAAACAGGAUUAGAUACCCCAGUAGUC
rnacentral:rRNA from 1 species